AGAGCGAACGCUGGCGGCAGGCCUAAUACAUGCAAGUCGAACGGAUCCUUCGGGAUUAGUGGCGGACGGGUGAGUAACACGUGGGAACGUGCCUUUUGGUUCGGAACAACUCAGGGAAACUUGAGCUAAUACCGAAUGUGCCCUUCGGGGGAAAGAUUUAUCGCCAUUAGAGCGGCCCGCGCCUGAUUAGCUAGUUGGUGGGGUAAUGGCCCACCAAGGCUACGAUCAGUAGCUGGUCUGAGAGGAUGAUCAGCCACACUGGGACUGAGACACGGCCCAGACUCCUACGGGAGGCAGCAGUAGGGAAUCUUGCGCAAUGGGCGAAAGCCUGACGCAGCCAUGCCGCGUGAAUGAUGAAGGUCUUAGGAUUGUAAAAUUCUUUCAGCGGGACGAUAAUGACGGUACCCGCAGAAGAAGCCCGGCUAACUUCGCGCCAGCAGCCGC
rnacentral:rRNA from 1 species